AGUGCAACUGCUGGAUCAUAUGGUAAAAUAUGCUUCGUUUUAUAGGAAACCGCCAAACUGUCUUCCCGAGUGACUGUACCACUUUGCGUUCCUGCCAGCAAU
rnacentral:pre_miRNA from 1 species